GCAUGCUUGAGUCUGAGUGGUAGAAGCAGCUCUCUUUGCAGAAGAUUGGAAGCCAAUACCUGUGUGUUGGAAAUAAGUACUGUCAGGCAGUGCUCCUCACAGCCAUGUACAACUGGGAAAUCUUCUAAGCCCUGGCCUGGAUGGAAGUAAUAUUGAUGAUUGGCAGCUCUGCCCUUGAACCGACAAACUGAAGUCUGCUCUCAGAAUAUGAUUUGAACAUACAGAACCUUGACUGACCAACUGGGAUCAGCUUUCUGUAUCAUAUGCUAGCAAAUGAACAGAGGAGUUAAUUGCACAGUAUACUCAGAAAUGGGAAAUGUUCUGAAGGAGCCAAUGGACACUUGAUAAAAAUGUUUUCCUGGAAAGGAAUGCCAACUUCAUUCUGUAGAGCAUGGAUUAUGAAAAUGUGGAUCUUCUGAGAAGAUUAGCCGUACUGACCAACCUAAUGCUCCCUCCAUGGCAAAAAGUUAGGGAAUAUGGGAACACGUUAUAAGGCAAUUUGAAUGCCAGCUUGCUUCUUUCCUCCUUCAGAAGGCAUGGGCUUCAAACAAUUAAGAAAAUGUCCCAACAGACCUUGAAGUAUGAGACUACAUGGGUUCACUGUAACUUUAAGUCUGACAUGAUCAGUCUGAUUACAAUGAGGGGGGAAAAAAAAAUUGUCCAGCUACUGCUUGACUUGGAUGACAUGUGGAGCUCAUUGUUGGACUGAUCUCUGCCUUUUGAAAUACAGGCUAUCCAUCAACUUCUCUCCAUAUGCACCCAGACAGCCAUCUGUCAGGCAGACUGAUGUCAGCAAAUUAAAGACGGUGUAAUCACCACCUGCCAAAUGUAGCUGCAGUUUUAAAUUAUAUAGCACAGCUUUUAGGAUGGUAUUACUGAGGAACUUUGCAAAAGGCCUUGCCCCAUCUGAUUAUACACUUGUGCCUUAAAUACUGAAACAAGUUUAAUACCAAUAAAGAAGAAAGCAUAUCUUUUUCUAAUGUGCUUUACAAUAGUAUUUAAUAUUAUCAGUUUUACUGUUCUAUUAAAAACACAUGAGGAGAAAUACUACAAGAUUUCAUACAGCUUGAGUUCAUAAAGCUGCAUAGGCAGGAUGUCAUUGUAGAAAGCCAACUGCUUCUAAAAAAGGAAUCACAUUCCCAUGUGAUACUAACAUCAUACUAUUAAAAACACCUUUGUAAUACUUGUAGUUGUAUUCCCGUUAUACUGUCUGCAAAAUUACUCAAGCACUUCUCACUCAUCUAGAAAACAUUAUCAUUAAUGCAACUGAGCAGAAAUCUGUCCUCAGCCUUGGUGGUUCCCUUGCAGCUAAGGAAGCUAAAAGAAGAAUCUAACUAAGAGAGAAAAUAACUCAGAAAAGGUCAGUAAACAACAUGUAACCAUUAGAAACUUGUGCACUCAUAUAGCUUUCUUUCAACAAGACAUUCCCAGAUGUAAAGAUGGCACUGAACUAUCAUAGCACUGCGCAGUCAGAGAGAAAUGGGCAACAAGGAAGGUGUUGAGGUCAAAUAUGAUAUAGCCAAAUGGUGGUAGUUCCAAAAGUGGAGUGUUCUAAAGUUGCUUUAAACUAAAUCUUAAGAUGUCUGGAACGUUUCUGGAAAAAUAUAGAGAACAAUAUUUACUACAUUAGAAUAAAUUCAAUUAGAGGCAUGUGGUGAGAACUUAGUAAAUGUUAAGCCUAUAUAGUGCAACCUUGUGUAGCAGCAGGAUCUGCUCAAUAUUCUUGAAUUUGGAGUUUUUGGAGCUAGUAAGUUCUUCACAGUGACACAUCAGCUUCUUCUGUGAAAUGAGAUCACUUUUAGCUCAAAAACCAUCUGUCCAGUUGAAAUUGCUCUCUUUGCUAUGCAUCUCUAUGAAUAUCUCCACACUGAUAAUCUGUAGGUAUGUAAUCAAAUUGCCAAUCUUUGUUAGGUCUUUCUGAAGUUAUUGCAACUCUCUGCAAACUAAACCAAAUAUUUUUAUCACCUCUCUGCUUGGUCUCUCUUUCCAGGGCGUGAAUGGAAAAGCAUUCAGGUUUAUGAGGCGCAAUCUGUUCUUCCCAGGCCCAUGCUGUUGCUGUUUAUUUUGCAGUUUUCUGCCUCCUGCAUUCAGAUUAAUUUCCUUAUCAUUUGACCCAUUGUUUUCACCAGCUUUGAUGCCAAACUAAGUGAUAAUAUUCUAGACUUUGACCUUUAUUACAUAUUGAUACCAUGUUUCCACUCUCAGCUGUUUCUAAUUAAAUUUAAAUAAGCAUGUGUUAAUGUUAUCUGCUUCUCCUACUUGGCAGUUAGAAAAAAAAGAAAUAAGUUAGCAGGGGUGUGAACUUACUGCCUUGGGCCUUGUGAGGAAUCGCUGCAUGAGCGUGAGGGCAACCAUUCUCUUUCAGGGAUGCUGGCUCCUUAGCACUUGGCAGUUGGCCCUUAGAUGAUGUCCAUGGUCUGUUUGUUUUACAAGCAUAAACAUAAACUCUUCUCACCUCAGAACAUAGUGGCCACAUUCAAAUCUGUCUACUGAUAGGGAGUCUGUCCAAGUCCUUUGAACUCAUGUAGUCUAGCAUAUGCCAAACUCCUGAAAUACCACAUGCUUCCUGUAUUCUUUUCUUAAAAUGGACUCUCCCUAAUAAAUUGAUUUUCUGUAUAUAUUUAUAUGUGAGGAAUGUUUUGCAACCCAGAAGGCUUAGAUUGGAUUUUCUGUGCAAUUUUCAGGUUGCAGUUAUACUGCCAAAGUCAGCAAGUAGUAGAUCUAAUGGCAAAUAUGAGGUAGAAACUGGUAUCUAUUUACUGAAGUGUUUUUGCUUCCAUUCAGUAAAUUGAUGAAGGAAAUUAUCUUAAAAUGCACUGACUUGCAUAAACAGUCUUUUUAAAUUAUGUCCCCAAACAUACCAGAGCCCACAUAUGAUGAAAACUGCUGUUGUCAUGAGUAAAGCUUAGUCACUAGUCAUUAAAUCCUUAAAUUCACAUGAUUUCUUUAAAAGGUAACUCAGAAACUACUCAGAAUAUGUAUUUCCCUUCUUAAAGAGAAAAUGAAACCAUAUUGGGUUUUACAAUGCUGAUUGUCAGUCUGGUAAUUGAAUUGUCAGAUUAAACCUCUUAGUUCCAGACUGGCAGCAUUUUCCUUACUUCUAAUUGCCACCAUGAAAAAUUAAGACUUGUCUUUUGAUUCAUCUUGAUUUUAUAUUUAUAACUUACAGCUUCAUCACCUUCCUUCUCUUGUAAUUUUCCUUCUCAUUCAUCUUUUCUCAUUUAUUUAUGCCUCGGCACUCUUCUCUUCCUGUGUCAUGAUGCUCCUUCAUUCUAGCUACAAAACACAGCAAUGUGUCCCUGUAGAAAAAUGCAUUAGGCUAGAGUUUGUUUGCUUUACAGUAAGUCAGAUAAAUAUGUGAAAGAAUUAAUAACUGUAUCCAAACCAGAGCACUCUUUAUCUGUCUCCUUCAGGCACAGUUAAAUUGUCGGAUAAAGAUCACUGUCCACAUACUAGGGCUGCAUUUUGUAAGUCUCCACUGAAUUUGAAAUUUUGCUACAUGGAAAACGUUUAUGAUCAGUUACAUUUUGCUUUAUGGAACAGUCAUAUUUAUGAAGUAAAUGCAUUUUCCCCAUAAAGAUGACUAAUGAUGACAGCAAGAAACAAGUUAACUUGAUUUUAGUCAUUAUCAUCUCAGAAAUAAAAGCAUGAAUACUGAUAUUUCAGUCUUUCUGGUUUGGGGAAAAAAGGCAAGUGUGGGAUUGAACUGAUACUGUCCGUCCAGAGACAGAAGAUGUUAUUUAGGGAAGAGAACAGAACAACUAAUAUAAUUGAAGAAAUAAGCCCUAUAGUUCCCUCAUGGUGCUGGACUUAAC